UAAAGAAUUUCGGUAUGGGAUGGGGAUGCGUUCCAUUAGUUAGUUGGCGGGGUAACGGCCCACCAAGACAACGAUGGAUAGGGGUUCUGAGAGGAAGGUCCCCCACAUUGGAACUGAGACACGGUCCAAACUCCUACGGGAGGCAGCAGUGAGGAAUAUUGGUCAAUGGACGAGAGUCUGAACCAGCCAAGUAGCGUGAAGGAUGACUGCCCUAUGGGUUGUAAACUUCUUUUAUAUGGGAAUAAAAUGUUCCACGUGUGGGAUUUUGUAUGUACCAUAUGAAUAAGGAUCGGCUAACUCCGUGCCAGCAGCCGCGGUAAUACGGAGGAUCCGAGCGUUAUCCGGAUUUAUUGGGUUUAAAGGGAGCGUAGGUGGAUUGUUAAGUCAGUUGUGAAAGUUUGCGGCUCAACCGUAAAAUUGCAGUUGAAACUGGCAGUCUUGAGUACAGUAGAGGUGGGCGGAAUUCGUGGUGUAGCGGUGAAAUGCUUAGAUAUCACGAAGAACUCCGAUUGCGAAGGCAGCUCACUGGACUGCAACUGACACUGAGGCUCGAAAGUGUGGGUAUCAAACAGGAUUAGAUACCCUGGUAGUCCACACAGUAAACGAUGAAUACUCGCUGUUUGCGAUAUACGGCAAGCGGCCA
rnacentral:rRNA from 1 species